rnacentral:lncRNA from 13 species
UAUUCCAGGGUGAUACUAUACCAGGGAGAUAAUAUACCAGGGUNNNNNNNNNNGAGUAGCAGCAGGAGUAGCAGUAGGAGUAGGAGUAGCAGUAGCAAUAGGAGUAGCAGUAGCAAUAGGAGCAGCAGUAGUAUCAGGAGUAGCAGUAGGAGCAUCAGUUGCAGUAGGAGUAGCAGCAGUAGUAGAGCAGCAGGAGUAGCAGUAGCAAUAGGAGUAGCAGCAGGAGUAGCAGUAGGAGUAGCAGUAGUAGUAGCAGGAGAAGCAGUAGGAAGAGCAGUAGCAGUAGGAAUAGCAGUAGCAGUAGGAUUAGGAGUAGCUGCAGUAGGAGCAGGAGUAACAGUAGGAGUAGCAGGAGGAGCAGUAGAAGUAGCAGCAGUAGGAGUAGAAAUAGCAGUAGCUGUAGCAGGAAUAGCAGUAAGACUAGCCGUAGCAUUAGCAGUAGGAGUAGCAGGAGUAGCAGUAGGAGUAAGAGUAGCAGUAGCAGGAGUAGCAGUAGCAGGAGUAGCAGUAGGAGUAGUAGCAGUAGCAGGAGUAGCAGUAGGAGUAGCAGUAGUAGAAGGAGAAGUAGCAGUAGCAGGAGUAGUAGCAGUAGGAUUAGGAGUAGCUGCAGUAGGAGUAGCAGUAGCAGUAGGAGCAGCAGUAGGAGUAGUAGCAGUAGCAGGAGUAGUAGCAGUAGCAGUAGCUUUAGAAGUAACAGUAGCAGUAGGAGUAGCAGGAGUAGUAUCAGGAAUAGCAGUAGGAGUAGCCGUAGCAUUAGCAGUAGGAGUAGCAGGAAUAGCAGUAGGAUUAGCCGUAGCAUUAGCAGUAGGAGUAGCAGUAGCAGGAGAAGCAAUAGGAGUAAGAGUAGCAGUAGCAGGAGUAGCAGUAGGAGUAGGAGUAGGAGUAGCAGGAGUAGCAGCAGUAGAAGUAGCAGUAGGAGUAAGAGUAGCAGUAGCAGGGGUAGCAGUAGGAGUAGGAGUAGGAGUAGCAGUAGCAGGAGUAGCAGUAGGAGUAGCAGGAGGAGUAGCAGCAGUAGGGGUAGCAGUAGGAGCGCUCUGGAAUAUCUAG